GGACCAUGCAAUACCUUGGUUCUGUCCAAAACUUGAUUCUAAGUAGUUGGUUUCCCCAUAGGUUUGAGUCUGAGGACCAUGCAAUACCUUGGUUCUGUCCAAAACUUGAUUCUUAAGUAGUUGGUUUCCCCAUAGGUUUGAGUCCGAGGACCAUGCAAUACCUUGGUUCUGUCCAAAACUUGAUUCUUAAGUAGUUGGUUUCCCCAUAGGUUUGAGUCCGAGGACCAUGCAAUACCUUGGUUCUGUCCAAAACUUGAUUCAUAAGUAGUUGGUUUCCCCAUAGGUUUGAGUCCGAGGACCAUGCAAUACCUUGGUUCUGUCCAAAACUUGAUUCAUAAGUAGUUGGUUUCCCCAUAGGUUUGAGUCCGAGGACCAUGCAAUACCUUGGUUCUGUCCAAA